UACAGAGGAGCCAAGCGUUGUCCGGAUUGACUGGGCGUAAAGCGCACGCAGGCGGUUGCGCGCGUGGGGAUGUGAAAUCUGGCCCGCUUAACGGCCAGGCGCCAUCCCAUACGGCGCGAGCUGGAGUGAUGCAGAGGUCGAUGGAAUUGCCGGUGUAGUGGUGAAAUGCGUAGAGAUCGGCAGGAACACCCAGGGGGAAACCAGUCGACUGGGCAUCACCUGACGCUGGAGGUGACGAGAGCGUGGGGGAGCGAACCGG
rnacentral:rRNA from 1 species